rnacentral:rRNA from 1 species
UUAAAUGAAUUGACGGGGCCCGCACAAGCGGUGGAGCAUGUGGUUUAAUUCGACGCAACGCGAAGAACCUUACCAGGGCUUGACAUCCCCUGACCGCGUAUGAAAGUACGUUUUCACCCUCGGGUGACAGGGAGACAGGUGGUGCAUGGUUGUCGUCAGCUCGUGUCGUGAGAUGUUGGGUUAAGUCCCGCAACGAGCGCAACCCCUACGUUUAGUUGCUAACGCGUGAAGGCGAGCACUCUAGACGAACUGCCGUUGACAAAACGGAGGAAGGUGGGGAUGACGUCAAAUCAUCAUGCCCCUUAUGUUCUGGGCUACACACGUGCUACAAUGGCCGGUACAGACGGACGCAAAGCCGCGAGGUGGAGCAAAUCCUAAAAAGCCGGUCUCAGUUCGGAUUGCAGGCUGCAAUUCGCCUGCAUGAAGUCGGAAUCGCUAGUAAUCGCAGGUCAGCAUACUGCGGUGAAUACGUUCCCGGGCCUU